GUAAGGGAUAUUGCGCAAUGGGCGAAAGCCUGACGCAGCAACGCCGCGUGGAGGAAGAAGGCCUUCGGGUCGUAAACUCGUUUUGCGCCUGACGAGCAAGGACGGUAGGGCGCGAAUAAGUCACGGCUAACUACGUGCCAGCAGCCGCGGUAAAACGUAGGUGGCGAGCGUUAUCCGGAUUUACUGGGCGUAAAGGGUGUGCAGGCGGGUGCGUCAGUGGUGUAUGAAAUCUCCGGGCUUAAGUCGGAGGGGUUAUGCCAUACUGCGCAUCUUGAGGGCGAGAGAGGGGCGUGGAAUUCCGGGUGUAGUGGUGAAAUGCGUAGAGAUCCGGAGGAACCCCAGAGGCGAAGGCGGCGCCCUGGCUCGCACCUGACGCUCAGACACGACGGCAUGGGGAGCGAACGGGAUUAGAAACCCCUGUAGUCC
rnacentral:rRNA from 1 species